rnacentral:rRNA from 1 species
GACGAACGCUGGCGGCGUGCCUAAUACAUGCAAGUAGAACGCUGAAGAGAGGAGCUUGCUCUUCUUGGAUGAGUUGCGAACGGGUGAGUAACGCGUAGGUAACCUGCCUUGUAGCGGGGGAUAACUAUUGGAAACGAUAGCUAAUACCGCAUAACAAUGGAUGACACAUGUCAUUUAUUUGAAAGGGGCAAUUGUUCCACUACAAGAUGGACCUGCGUUGUAUUAGCUAGUAGGUGAGGUAAUGGCUCACCUAGGCGACGAUACAUAGCCGACCUGAGAGGGUGAUCGGCCACACUGGGACUGAGACACGGCCCAGACUCCUACGGGAGGCAGCAGUAGGGAAUCUUCGGCAAUGGGGGCAACCCUGACCGAGCAACGCCGCGUGAGUGAAGAAGGCUUUCGGAUCGUAAAGCUCUGUUGUAAGUCAAGAACGGGUGUGAGAGUGGAAAGUUCACACUGUGACGGUAGCUUACCAGAAAGGGACGGCUAACUACGUGCCAGCAGCCGCGGUAAUACGUAGGUCCCGAGCGUUGUCCGGAUUUAUUGGGCGUAAAGCGAGCGCAGGCGGUUUGAUAAGUCUGAAGUUAAAGGCUGUGGCUCAACUAUAGUUCGCUUUGGAAACUGUCAAACUUGAGUGCAGAAGGGGAGAGUGGAAUUCCAUGUGUAGCGGUGAAAUGCGUAGAUAUAUGGAGGAACACCGGUGGCGAAAGCGGCUCUCUGGUCUGUAACUGACGCUGAGGCUCGAAAGCGUGGGGAGCGAACAGGAUUAGAUACCCUGGUAGUCCACGCCGUAAACGAUGAGUGCUAGGUGUUGGAUCCUUUCCGGGAUUCAGUGCCGCAGCUAACGCAUUAAGCACUCCGCCUGGGGAGUACGACCGCAAGGUUGAAACUCAAAGGAAUUGACGGGGGCCCGCACAAGCGGUGGAGCAUGUGGUUUAAUUCGAAGCAACGCGAAGAACCUUACCAGGUCUUGACAUCCCGAUGCUAUUUCUAGAGAUAGAAAGUUACUUCGGUACAUCGGUGACAGGUGGUGCAUGGUUGUCGUCAGCUCGUGUCGUGAGAUGUUGGGUUAAGUCCCGCAACGAGCGCAACCCCUAUUGUUAGUUGCCAUCAUUCAGUUGGGCACUCUAGCGAGACUGCCGGUAAUAAACCGGAGGAAGGUGGGGAUGACGUCAAAUCAUCAUGCCCCUUAUGACCUGGGCUACACACGUGCUACAAUGGUUGGUACAACGAGUUGCGAGUCGGUGACGGCGAGCUAAUCUCUUAAAGCCAAUCUCAGUUCGGAUUGUAGGCUGCAACUCGCCUACAUGAAGUCGGAAUCGCUAGUAAUCGCGGAUCAGCACGCCGCGGUGAAUACGUUCCCGGGCCU